rnacentral:rRNA from 1 species
AUUGAACGCUGGCGGCAGGCCUAACACAUGCAAGUCGAACGGUAACAGGAAGCAGCUUGCUGCUUCGCUGACGAGUGGCGGACGGGUGAGUAAUGUCUGGGAAACUGCCUGAUGGAGGGGGAUAACUACUGGAAACGGUAGCUAAUACCGCAUAACGUCGCAAGACCAAAGAGGGGGACCUUAGGGCCUCUUGCCAUCGGAUGUGCCCAGAUGGGAUUAGCUAGUAGGUGGGGUAACGGCUCACCUAGGCGACGAUCCCCAGCUGGUCUGAGAGGAUGACCAGCCACACGGGAACUGAGACACGGUCCAGACUCCUACGGGAGGCAGCAGUGGGGAAUAUGGCACAAUGGGCGCAAGCCUGAUGCAGCCAUGCCGCGUGUAUGAAGAAGGCCUUCGGGUUGUAAAGUACUUUCAGCGGGGAGGAAGGGAGUAAAGUUAAUACCUUGGCUCAUUGACGUUACCCGCAGAAGAAGCACCGGCUAACUACGUG